AGGCUAUGGUUUCCCUUCAUCAUACGAGCUAACCUUUCGCCAUUUACUAAAGAUUACCUUGAAGAGGAACAUUACAAUGAACCUAUAAAUAAUUUUUGGAAUUUUCACCUGAUGGU
rnacentral:snRNA from 1 species